GUGAGUCAUCGAAUCUUUGAACGCACAUUGCGCCCCUUGGUAUUCCGAGGGGCAUGCCCGUUCGAGCGUCAUUAUAACCCCUCAAGCCUAGCUUGGUGUUGGAGCCUGCUGUUACCGGCAGCUCUUAAAAUCAGUGGCGGUGCUAUCUGGCUCUAAGCGUAGUAAUACUUCUCGCUACAGGGUCCCGGUGGAUGCUUGCCAUCAACCCCUAAUUUUCUAUGGUUGACCUCGGAUCGGGUAGGGAUACCCGCUGAACUUAAGCAUAUCAAUAAGCGGAGGA
rnacentral:misc_RNA from 1 species